CACUAUCCGAGUGCCAGGCUUGGCACAGAAAAUGUGGGCAUCGUGCCUUUUGUUGAGCACCCUGGCCUGAAGAGAAUGAAGCAGGCAGCCCCUGGUGGACCCGAGGACAAUGCAACUGACCCUCAGCACCUGAUUUCUUUUUUCACCCCCACAGAACUUAAAAGGACACAGAAGGCUCAAUGGGGAGAAUGAAAAAAGAGAUGGUGUCUGCCUUCUGGCUGACAUGACUUGUGCCCUGAUCGCAUGGGGAUUCCAUAAUGAAGAUUGCAAUGUCCUAUAAUUACAAGAUUAAACAUUUUGUUUAAAUUAAUAAUU